rnacentral:lncRNA from 1 species
GCACUCCUCUUCCUCCUAGUGCGGUGGUGGCGAUGGCGCUUUCUUGCCUUUCCUAGCGUACUAUUGUUUCCCUCCCUACGCACCUUGCCAUGGCAUGGUCUCCUUGGAGCAAGAGGAACACUUGGUCAAAGUCUAGACGCACUUAGCAUCAUGGAAUCCAGUGGGCCCGGGGCCACGAAGGUCCACUGCUCAGGUUAUAAAAACCCUAAAUCCGUAGUCUCUGAACCCCUCCUUCUUCCUUUCCUUGGCACUCCUCUUCCUCGAAGCGUGGUGAUGAUGGCGGCGGAGGCGCUUGCUUGCCUUCCCUAA